rnacentral:lncRNA from 1 species
CUCCUUUAUGCUGAGAAGCACUAGGGUGUGUACCUUUCUACUAACAAUAGAAACUCCCAUUGGCAGAGCCAACCUGAAGAGGGUGUGGGUGGUGUGGGUCUCCUCUAGCCAUUGGGUGAACCCACUCACCACUUCUCCCCACCUCAACCCAUUCCAUCAAAGAAAAUAAGUAUUUGUCCUGUCCACCACUUGGGGCCACUGGUUUUUAUUUUGAGGUAAUUGGGGCACCAUAUAGUUAUUAAGAAACACUCAGAUGUUUCCCUCUAAUAGAACUGGAUGACAAGGGCCUACUGUAAUACUGACAUAAGCAGAAGUCAGGCUAGCUGUUCUCAUCAUCACGUUGGCCAUAGGACAACUCUUGUCCUCAACCCAUCUGCAACCAUGAGCCUUUAUUACUACUCUUUUGUCAUCCUAAGAAUGCUACCCCUAGCCAGGUGAGAUGGCACACACCUGUAAUCCCAGUGGAUUGGAGAGGCUGAGGCAGGAGGAUCACAAAGCCAUCCCCUAAAGGGGAUCACACAAUUUUGACUUAGAUUUAGAGAAAUAUGAAUUCUCAAGAUUUCAUUCAUAUCAUUGCAUAUGCUGAUAACUCAUUUCUUUGUGUUGCUU